GAUUCGUGCCUCAACGCUUCCUCCUGGCACCCCACUCCAGUGGUACUGUUUCCUGGAUCCCUUUAAGAGUUGUCAAAUGACAUUCCCCAAAUUGAUAGAGCCAAGUGGAUACCUUUUUUGGGAGAAGGCAGGGGAGAGAAAAGGAGCUGAUUCUGGUGAAGAAGUCCAGAUGCCAGGAGAACAAGCAUGGGCAAAGACACGAAAUUGCUUGAAAAACCAUGAAAUUCCUAAUAAACAUCCAUGAGCGGGAUACAUGUGGGGGAACUCUAGCAGGGGAAUAAAUUAAUUUCAGGAGCUAAAGAGAAGCCACGAGCAACAAAACAAAAGCAAGUGACUUGUUGAAAGGGCCAGGUCUUGGUAAGAUCAUCCAGUGCCUGCCAUAGACAAAGAAGGACAGGCUGGGCACCCUGAGAUCUGGACUUGAACUCAAGCUCUACAGGGCAGGUAUGGACGAACAGUGUCACCUCUCUGGGUCUGUGCCCUCAACUGAGACAGGUUUUUUCAGGGACUAAAUAAGACGAGGGAGGCCAGAUGCAUCCUUCUGAGUGCCCAGCACAAAAGUGUGGGUUCAGGGUUGACUGGUGCCUUUCCGCUGCCUUCCACAAAUAGUUCUUGACUGUAACAUCUUCAGUGUUCUUAUUCUAUCCCCUUCUGCAAACCUAGCCAGGCCUUCCUCUUCACCAAGACCUCUGAUUUUGCCAGAUGAUCCUCUCUGCAUUAACUUACCCCAAAGGGUUCUCGACUCUGCGCAGCCUGGGUUGUCUCCAGCCGCUGGAGGGGUGCUGUGACAGCGCCAACAUUCCACACCAACCACAAUGAUUUUAAUUUGAUUCAGUGGAAUAUGCCAAUUAGUACUUCUCUGGGAGAAGAGAGAUAACAAAUUGCACAAGUUAUGCCGGAAUGUGGAAUGUUUUUAAACAAUGGACCUAGAAAUUUACCAGCAGUGGUCCCAUCAUUUUUAUGAGUUAUAUUACUCCUGAAAUAUUUAGUGUUUGAUUAGUUCAUCUUCGGUAUCCAGGAAAUAUUUAAUUCAAUGCAGCGACGCAGACAUUUACGGAGGUCUUUUUCUGUGCCAGACCCUGGGCUACACUCUGAGGAUACACAGAUGAAUGAGACGCAUAGAGCUAGUCUCGGCUAGUCUCUGUGGGGGAAGAACACAAAGCGUGUGAAAAAAUGAGAGCAGAGGUUUGAAGAGAGUUCCAGGGGAGCCUGGAGGCCGGGCUGCUGGGGCCCAUCCACGUAGGCUGUACACGGCACAACUCUGAGAUUCCAUUCACAUAGACCAGGGUUUGGCGAAUGUUUUCUGUUGAGGGCCAGAUGAUAGUAAGUAUUUUAUGUCUUGUGGGCCAUACUGUCUCCGUUGCAAUUUCUCAGCUCUGUUGUUGUAGCACAAAUGCAGCAAGAGACAUUAUGUACACAAAUCAGCUUGCCUAAAUUCCAGUUAAACUUUAUUUGUAGGCCCUGAAUUGUGCCAUGAAGUAUUCUAAUUUUUAAUUAUUUUCAAC